rnacentral:rRNA from 1 species
UACGUAGGUGGCAAGCGUUGUCCGGAAUUACUGGGCGUAAAGGGCGUGUAGGCGGCUUUUUAAGUCAGGCGUGAAAUCCAUGGGCUUAACCCAUGAAUAGCGUUUGAAACUGGAAGGCUUGAGGAUCGGAGAGGGCAGUGGAAUUCCCAGUGUAGCGGUGAAAUGCGUAGAUAUUGGGAAGAACACCAGUGGCGAAGGCGACUGCCUGGACGACACCUGACGCUGAGGCGCGAAAGCUAGGGGAGCAAACGGGAUUAGAUACCCCGGUAGUCCUAGCUGUAAACGAUGGGUACUAGGUGUGGGAGGUAUCGACCCCUUCCGUGCCGCAGUUAACACAAUAAGUACCCCGCCUGGGGAGUACGGCCGCAAGGUUG